GGCCUCCUUGUGCUUACCACAGGCGGUGUUUUUUAACAUUGCCUGUACAGAAGGAGGAGGCAGAGUAAAACUCACCCCAUAUACCCCUCACCCAGGCCCUUUGCCUGGUCUGUAUGUGAAUGGGAGGACUGGA